GGCCAGGUAGCGGAGUGGUAACGCAUGCGAAAUGAAUAGAGUGUCUGCAAUGUUUCCUCGCAAGGUCUCUGUUCGAUUCGGACUUUGGCCA